CAAACGGGUGCGGAACACGUACGCAACCUUCCUUUAACUGGAGAAUAGCCCCUCGAAAGAGGGAUUAAUGCUCCGUAACAUAUUGAUAAGGCAUCUUAUUAAUAUUAUAGCUCCGGCGGUUAAAGAUGGGCGUGCGCCUGAUUAGGUAGUUGGCGGGGUAACGGCCCACCAAGCCUUCGAUCAGUAACUGGUGUGAGAGCACGACCAGUCACACGGGCACUGAGACACGGGCCCG
rnacentral:rRNA from 1 species